rnacentral:rRNA from 1 species
GGAAUUUUGGACAAUGGGCGCAAGCCUGAUCCAGCAAUGCCGCGUGAGUGAAGAAGGCCUUCGGGUUGUAAAGCUCUUUUGUCAGGGAAGAAACGGUGGACUCUAAUACAGAUCACUAAUGACGGUACCUGAAGAAUAAGCACCGGCUAACUACGUGCCAGCAGCCGCGGUAAUACGUAGGGUGCAAGCGUUAAUCGGAAUUACUGGGCGUAAAGCGUGCGCAGGCGGUUUGGUAAGACAGAUGUGAAAUCCCCGGGCUCAACCUGGGAAUUGCAUUUGUGACUGCCCGACUAGAGUGUGUCAGAGGGGGGUAGAAUUCCACGUGUAGCAGUGAAAUGCGUAGAGAUGUGGAGGAAUACCGAUGGCGAAGGCAGCCCCCUGGGAUAACACUGACGCUCAUGCACGAAAGCGUGGGGAGCAAACAGGAUUAGAUACCCCUG